UACAGAGGGGGCAAGCGUUAUUCGGAAUUAUUGGGCGUAAAGGGCGCGUAGGCGGUCGUGCAAGUGGAAGGUGAAAUCCCUCGGCUCAACCGAGGAACUGCCUUUCAAACUGCAUGACUUGAGUCCGGGAGAGGUGAGUGGAAUUCCCCAGUGUAGCGGUGAAAUGCGUAGAUAUUGGGAGGAACACCAGUGGCGAAGGCGGCUCACUGGACCGGAACUGACGCUGAGGCGCGAAAGCGUGGGGAGCAAACGGG
rnacentral:rRNA from 1 species